UGUGGAUAGCCCCUUGCCAGACCGCAGCUUAGUGGCAGACCCUUUACAUACUCUGAUACCGAGUCCAACGCCACGUCCCCCAAAGAUCUGCCCUGAUCGAUGCAUGGAUGUGGAGCUUUCAAGGAAAAUAAAGUGGGUAUCCACCCUACGUUGGACAUGUAGUAGAUGACCUGUGCUUGAGACACUGCAGUUCUGGAAAAGAUGUGACCAGAGACCCUCAUGCUUUUUCCAGUUCUACAGAGGUUAAUUCUAGUUCCUCUGCCAAAUUCCAGAUUACGUAUUGUACCCUCCAAGUGAAGUGUAAAAGCGGAGCUGCUCUGUUGUGCAUCGAUACUGAGGAGCCCACAGUGUCUGUUGUUCCAGGACGAGUUUGUUCCUUUUCCAGCGUCCAAGAUCUCUUUGUGCUACAAUGCACAACACCCUGCCAGCCUGCGUAGUGCUACUGCCAUUCUACCGGUCACUGCUUCAGGGCUGGAGACACCGUUUGCAAAAUGCUUUUGGGAUGAAUUUGUGUGGACUCCAGGGCUGUGGAUGCCACAAAAGUAACAUCUCACUGCAACUGGACUACAUGUGUUCUGUAACCAAGGAUCUUCCAGGCAUAGUGAUGGAAGGUGUGUGGGCUGGGACUAUGCCUUAGCCAGAGAUAUUGUAGAGAUCUAACAGAAACAUUGAGAGUGGAAUGGAUGGGCAUGAACGGCACCAGAGGACAUGGCAGAAGGACAGGAAUGACAGCUGUUGAUGACACCUAAGCUAGAAGAUUAUCAAGAUCACAGCACAUCUUGCAGCUUCUCAAAACACCCAGAUUGGGAAU